CUUCUGCAGAUCUUGAGCCAACGGGAGACUUGGGAACUCCCAGAGUCCAGCCAGGAGACCUGGGAAGGAGGCAUGACAAAAAUGCUCAGCUCCCCAAGGCUCCUGAGUGAUCCUGCCCUUGGCCAUGACUACCACAGCUCCAAACAGAGAGAGAGCAUUCCCCUUACCAGAGCUGUUCGAUGACAGCCGGGCUGCUGGAGUCGGCACCGAUGCAUCGCAGGCGGCACAGGACCCGGAUCACAUUCCCAUCCACAACGCCGGUAGCCUGGGACCCGGAGCUGGGGUUACCAUACUGGGAUAUGCUCCAUACAAAGAAGGGAGCUGGGGUGCUCCCAGGAUGGAGAGGGACACACACGAGGCCAACCCACAGGCCAAGCUGGGUGGGAGUUGAGAUGCAUCCCAAAGUGGGGAGAGAGCUAAGCACAACCCUGGGGAGCUCUUGGCUUGUGAGACCCAGCAGCAGGACCCUGCCAGGAGUGGGGCUGGGUAGCAGAGGAGGAGACGUGUCCGCUGAUGCCCAGCUCUCACCUGUCCGUACGAGAUGGACGCGAUGGCUCCCGCCGUGUAUCGGCCCACACCCGGCAGCAGCUUCUGCAGGUCCUCAGCUGUCCUGGGCAUCCGGCCAGCCAGCUCGGACACCACCUGGCAGGGAAGGGGCUGAGCUCAGGGAAGCAGCUGGGGUGGGUGUGUGCAGGUAACCCAUUUUGCCCAUGGGAAGAUGGGAUCCCAGCCUCUACAGCCUCCUGCCAGCAGCACAGCCCCAGCCAGGCAGGGCAGACGUGAGCCAGCACCAGCCAUAGAGGGGUUUAGAAAUGCCCCUUCUCCCCCACUCCAGCACCUUCCUUGCUGCCUCCUGCAGACGCUUCCCUCUGGAGUAGUAGCCAAGGCCAGCCCACAGCUCGUUCACCUCCUGCUCCAAGAGACACAGCAGGGUGUUAAUGGAGAACCACAGGGCAAGGAGAGCAUCCGGUCCCAGCAAUGCUCACCUCCAGGGACGCCUGUGCCAGAGCCUGCAGAGUCGGCCACUUCUGCGGGACAGAGGCAAAGGGACAAGUCAAGGACAAGCAGAGUUGUGCUCUGCCACUGGAGAUCUGCCACAGGCAGUGGACAAGCUCUCCAAAAGGGGCAGCCUGUGGGCACAGGACUCUGUAAGGAGCAGUCACCUGCAUCCAGCGGUUGUAGUAAUCGAUCACUGUAGCCACCUGUGUCUGCUGGAGCAUGAUCUCGGACACCCACACUGCAGGGAACAGGGUGGGGUUCAGAGCAGAGGCUCCAACGCCACCCACACUUCGUGCUGUGGCCACGUUAGCACUGGCUACAAGCACUGCACAGCAUCCAGCUCAUGGGACUCCCUCCCACCCCUCACCUUCCCCACAUGCUGCCCCACAGGAGUUCCCCCAGGCCCAAGGUGGUUCUCCAACCCCCCAGAGCCUUGUGAGGGGAAUCAGUGGCUCUUAUGGCCACUUCAAGCAGUUUAUUCCAAGUAUGGCACCCAAAGCCACACCUCACAAUGCCAGUCCCUGCAUAUCCCUCACCUGCAUAUCCCCGUCUGUCGGCAUCCGGCUCCAUCACUGCCUGGAAGGGGAAGAAGAUGAAGUGUGAGAAACAAGGUGACGCAGGACCCCACCACAGAGGGCACCUACAUGUAAAAUAAAACAAUCCAUGGUGUGUUUUGAACACUGCAA